CCUACGGGCGGCAGCAGUGGGGAAUAUUGGACAAUGGGCGAAAGCCUGAUCCAGCCAUGCCGCGUGUGUGAAGAAGGCCUUCGGGUUGUAAAGCACUUUCAGUGGGGAAGAAAGCCUUGGGGCUAAUACCCUCGAGGAAGGACAUCACCCACAGAAGAAGCACCGGCUACUCCGUGCCAGCAGCCGCGGUAAUACGGAGGGUGCGAGCGUUAAUCGGAAUUACUGGGCGUAAGGCGCGCGUAGGCGGUCUGAUAAGCCGGUUGUGAAAGCCCCGGGCUCAACCUGGGAACGGCAUCCGGAACUGUCAGGCUAGAGUGCAGGAGAGGAAGGUAGAAUUCCCGGUGUAGCGGUGAAAUGCGUAGAGAUCGGGAGGAAUACCAGUGGCGAAGGCGGCCUUCUGGACUGACACUGACGCUGAGGUGCGAAAGCGUGGGUAGCAAACAGGAUUAGAUACCCCAGUAGUC
rnacentral:rRNA from 1 species